rnacentral:tRNA from 1 species
GAGGGUGUAGCUCAGUGGUAGAGCGUGUGCCUAGCAUGCACAAGGUCAUGGGUUUAAUCCCCAGUACUGCCA